CCCCACUGAAUUAUAUUCACUUCCCCGACCAGCUAUUGGAUGCUGGCAGAGUGUUUGGAUUGUUCCUGCGCCUGGGCUCCAUCCGACCAAACAGCGAUUGCUACUCGACUAUUAAGUUUUCCUGGUAUUCCUAAUCUCCAUCGCAGCCGAGUCCAAAACGUUAAGAGCUGCUCGGUCCUUGAAACGGUCGCUCCCGGCGCCCGCGGCAGCGGCAAGAUGGCGGACGGGCACGGCUUGUGUGAAGCCGGCGAUGCGACCUCGACUCCGGCACCUCCUCCCGACCUGAACCCGAGGCUGGGCUGGAAGGAGCGGCUACGGGCCGGGCUGGCGGGAACGGGGGCCUCGUUGUGGUUCGUGGCGGGGUUGGGGCUGCUUUACGCUCUGAGGGUCCCGCUGAGGCUGUGUGAGACCUUGGCAGCGGUGACAGUGUUUUUAAAUUCAUUGACACCCAAAUUCUAUGUGGCACUUACAGGGAUCUCUUCUUUGAUAUCAGGACUAAUAUUUAUAUUUGAAUGGUGGUACUUCAAUAAGCAUGGCACAUCUUUUAUCGAGCAAGUGUCUGUAAACCAUUUGAGACCACUGAUGGGAGGAGCAGAAAGCAACUCCUCAGAGCCAGUUUCUCUUUCCAGCAACAGACAAAGUGUAACCAGCAGACAGAAUUUGUCAGAAUGUAAAGUUUGGAAAAAUCCUCUAAACCUUUUCAGAGGAGCAGAAUAUAGGAGAUACACGUGGGUGACUGGGAAAGAGCCACUUACGUACUAUGACAUGAACUUGUCGGCUCAGGACCAUCAGACCCUUUUCACCUGUGACACAGACAGCCUGCGUCCUUCAGACACAGUUAUGCAGAAGGCAUGGAGGGAAAGAAAUCCCCCAGCUCGGAUCAAAGCAGCCUAUCAAGCUUUAGAACUAAACAAUGACUGUGCCACUGCUUACGUCCUAUUGGCUGAGGAAGAAGCAACAACCAUUAUAGAUGCAGAAAGGUUAUUUAAGCAGGCACUCAAAGCAGGAGAAACAAUGUACAGGCGAUCGCAGCAGUGCCAGCACCAAAGUCCCCAGCAUGAAGCUCAACUGAGGAGAGAUACCAAUGUGCUGGUGUAUAUUAAAAGAAGAUUGGCAAUGUGUGCGAGAAAGUUAGGAAGAAUAAGAGAAGCAGUAAAAAUAAUGAGAGAUUUGAUGAAAGAAUUUCCUCUUCUUACCAUGUUGAACAUCCAUGAAAAUCUCUUAGAAUCACUUUUAGAAUUACAGGCCUAUGCAGAUGUUCAGGCAGUCCUAGCAAAGUAUGAUGAUAUAAGCCUUCCUAAGUCAGCAGCAAUCUGUUAUACAGCAGCUUUGUUGAAGACAAGGACUGUUUCAGAGAAAUUCUCACCAGAAACAGCCUCUAGAAGAGGGUUAAGCACAGCAGAGAUUAAUGCUGUGGAAGCAAUUCAUAGAGCUGUGGAAUUUAAUCCUCAUGUGCCAAAAUAUUUGCUAGAGAUGAAAAGUUUGAUUUUGCCCCCAGAGCACAUUUUGAAACGGGGUGAUAGUGAAGCAAUUGCCUAUGCUUUCUUUCAUCUUCAGCACUGGAAGCGAAUAGAAGGUGCUCUUAACCUCUUACAGUGCACAUGGGAAGGCACUUUCAGAAUGAUUCCGUACCCACUAGAGAAAGGACAUCUAUUUUAUCCUUAUCCCAGCUGUGCAGAGACUGCUGAUAGAGAGCUAUUGCCUAAUUUUCAUCAUGUUUCUGUUUACCCAAAGAAAGAGCUUCCUUUUUUCAUCCAUUUCACAGCAGGACUGUGCUCUUCUACAGCGAUGAUAGCCCUUCUCACACACCAGUUUCCUGAAAUCAUGGGUAUUUUUGCCAAAGUUAGUCAAGGGACAAGUUGGUGAAAGAUUACUGUGGUCCAUAUAAAACCUAAGAAAUUCAGUCUUGACCUGCCAAGGCAACUUCUGGUGGCAUCUGAAAUUCAGGAUACCUAUUGCAGGCCCUACUUUGGAUUUUGUAAGACUUAAUUUUAUGCCUGUGAGAAAAAUCAACACACAUGACUUACCCUCCAACCCAGAGAUUCUACUU